AUGUAACCACUAAUGAAGAAAAGAGAAGUAUCUAACUUUAUAGAGAGAUGGAGUACGUAAAUGUUUCCACUGUGACACAAGAGACUCUCCUGGAAAAGGCACUCUUGAAACUGGUCAAUGUAAGGAAAGCUGUUCAGCAUGUAGGCCAUGGGCGUUCUAAGAGACAUUAUCAUUAGGCCCUCUCUGAAAAAUCUCUUGUAACCUAGAGAGCCCUAGCUACUUUUGUGAGGUCACAAGUGUUGUCCUGAUAGCAUCUGCCUCUCAGAUAUUUCUUCAGUACCCCUAGAGCUUACUAAUUGGCCUUUAAUUCAGAAUAAACAGACAUUUUUGAAGGGAGAACAAAGAGGAUGAAGAAAUCAGAGAUGUUCAAAGAAAGCUUCCCUUCUGUUUUGGUAUCAAAAAGGAAGAAUUACCUGGUCCAUUUGAGAGCUCAGUGAGUCCGGGGAAAAAUAGUCCUGAGGAAGGAGGGACAACAAGUAUUGUAUCGUCAUGUCAUCUCAAGAAAAACUCUCAAAACUCAUCCUGGCUGACAAUGUAGAUUAGACGCAUCAGAUGAAAUGAAUUGAAAAACUCUCCUGGGAAUGAAAGUGGUAAGGAAAUCACAUUGAUGUAUCCUAAAUGCAGUGCUAAGAGCAAUAUUCAGACUAGUCUGUGGAGAUGCUGCUGUCAUCAGAGACCACAGACAAUUAGUGGAGAAUGAUUCAGCAUUAAACUGGGAAUGGAAGAUGAUGGUUGAUAUUGUUCUAGUAGAUCUCACUACAUUAAAAAGUGUUUCUUCCAGAUAACUGAAUGAUUAUUGUAAAGCAAAUCCCGGAAUGAACUUAUGAGACCCACCAUCAGCCUGUCAAAUAAUGUGCGAAAGAAGAAAUCUGUGUCUCUCCAGGGACAAAUUGUUGCUUUCAAACCAACAGUAAAGUGUCCAUUCUA